UACGGAGGGUGCAAGCGUUAUCCGGAUUCACUGGGUUUAAAGGGUGCGUAGGUGGGCAAGUAAGUCAGUGGUGAAAUCUCCGGGCUUAACCCGGAAACUGCCAUUGAUACUAUUUGUCUUGAAUACUGUGGAGGUCAGCGGAAUAUGUCAUGUAGCGGUGAAAUGCUUAGAUAUGACAUAGAACACAGAUAGCGAAGGCAGCUUGCUACACAGUUAUUGACACUGAGGCACGAAAGCGUGGGGAGCAAACAGG
rnacentral:rRNA from 1 species